UUGUGGGGCAGAGUGGGGUUUCGCCCUGGGGGAGCAUAUGUGGCAGAGGGCACAGGAAGAUCUGUAAGCAAGAGGGCAUAGCAAAUUAAAUGACCACACUGUCAGGAAGGUUGACAGGCCAAAGAAAGAUCAGCUCCUCCAAAUCUGCUGAACUAACUCUCCCCUCGUAGCCCCAGACACGUUUUCUCAAUUUGAGCACAAUAUCCAUUACUAUUUCCCGUACUGGGUUUCAAUUAAAGAGAGUGAGAGUAGAAAGUUCACUGGUGUUUGGGGGUUCAUUUAUUUCCAAGCAGGAUGCAAAUGAAAGGGAGCCGUGGGCACAGAGUUGUCAUGUGUGUUUUUCCUCCCUCUUCUUUCCAUUUCCUUCUUGCAACCUUCCCUCCACUUCUUGCCAGCCACCCAGCACACCCGUGUUCCCAAAGCAAAUGUUUUCAUGUCUUGAAAAUCCAGUUAGGGUGAGGAGAGAAGGAAGGUGAUAACAUCAUACCUACUGAUGCCCCCUAGAGAUGAAGCUGUCCUGGGGGCACUUAAGGCUUGAGGGAAGGAUUUACCUUCUCGAGAUGGGCACAGGAAUUGGGGUAGUGUGAGCACUUGAAGGGUUCCAGGUUUUACUGUUGCACUGAAAACAGAUGCAAUCCCUCCUGCUGUAACAUGCCCCUAUGGAAAAAAUCUAGCCUUCUGUGCAGUUAUCCUGUUUUGGUCCUAGAACACAGGGUGGUGAUCUUGCUUCUCUGGGGGGUGCCAGGCAAAUAGAAGACGUGAAAAUCUGCUGCCAAGGUCAGGAUGUAGGUCCUGGAUUCAGGAUCUUGACCCCAGGCCUGCCCUGUCACCGAGCAGUGGUCUCACAACCAGGCAAACUCUCUGGCCAAACUCACUUCACACAAACUUGAGCUGAGCACCAGCCCUCCAACCCCCUCCACCUUCUAUGAUCACUGACUUUGUACCAUGGCCACACAGACCACUGGGCAGAAGAGUAGCUGCAGGGUGUCGGUCUUAAUUUCAUGACACUCUGCGUAGCCUCCUCCUCCUUCCACGUCAGCAAAAGAAACUAGAGGCCUCAACAAUGUGACUGUAUUUUGAGUUGGGAUGUGUCCCUCCCAAAUCAAUCAUCCCGGCUCCAAAUAAUACAAACAAAUUCUACAUAUUUUAAAAUGUCCCAAGUCUUGUAUGAUAUCCAGGGACCGAUUAGUGCCGACUGGAGAGACUAUUCCCUCUCCCAUUCCGAAUAAAGGGUUAGGUGAAGGUUGUGGCCCGAGAGAUCCCAGAAGCCCUUAAAAGUCUUUAGCUUGGGGUUUGAAUAAUGAGGGCUAGAUAAGUUUGUUUUCUCUUCCUUUCAAAAAUUUUUUUAUUUUAGAGGAAGGGGAAUGAGGAAGGCGCACGCGCGCGCUCACACACACACACACACACACACACACACGCAGAAAGAGAGAAAAUGUUUGGAAUUGUGAAAGUGCCUUUCCUAGUAGUUGCUUUUACUGGCGCCCGGGCCUCAAUUCAUUUCAUCUCUGAACCAGAUACUAAAAAUCCUCCAGGCGAGUGGAGAGGACCGGCCUUCCUGGAUCGGGAACCUGCCCUCUGUCUUCCCUCGCAGCGCCCUUUCCUCCUUUCGCUUGGGAAAGGAAGAUUUCGAGCCCCAGGAAGGAGUUGGGAGUGAGCGACAGCCCAGAGCGUCCCAUAAGGUCCUUUUGGCCAUGUUUCUGCCCCGGGGGGCUUCACCUAGAUCCCCCACCCCACCCCUUACCCCUGUUGCAAAUACGUAAGCUGGACGCGCCUCGGUGCGGAUCCAGGCCUCGCUGAGCACGGAACCGGAGAAGCAGCUCACGGCCUCGGAUUCUACUCUCACCCAAGGGUGGAAGGGGGUGACAGGGCUCGGAUCUUGCCCCAAACGCUGCACAGGCCCGCAGGAGAGCAAAGAGGUCUCGGACAGGCUGUCCUUCCCCAGCUCUCGGUCGCGACAAGGUCCCGACAGGCCCGGGAACCGGCGAACCGCCUGCAGCUGCUAUCGACAACACUUACAGCCUCCAGAAAUGACCCUUGGUGCCGACUUGUCUGGAAGCCAUCAGGGUUAGUUUUGAAGCAGGAAUCUUCAAGUGGACCAGAGGGUUGUCUUCUGCUCCUGAUCUGGUUGGCUGGAGACACUUAGAAGCUAUGGCCUUUCACCUACAGGGUCUCUCUUUGUUGCCUAGGCUGGAGUGCAGUGGAACGAACUUGGCUUAUUGAAGCAUUGACCACCUGGACCCAAGUGAUUCUCCUACCUUAGCCUCUUGAAUAGCUGUGACAACAGGUGUGCACUACCACACCCAGAUAAAUUUUGUAAUUUUUAUAGAGAGGGCAUUUGACCAUGUUGCCCAGGCUGGUCUCAAACUCCUGAGCUCAAGUGAUACUCCUGCCUCGGCCUCCCAAAGUGCUGGGAUUACAGAUGAAGAAAAUGAGGCACUGAGAGAUUACAUAACUUCCCUUGAGUCAUAUUUGCUUGUAAGUGGUAAGGCUGGAUGUUGAACCCAGGACAAAGGGAGCCCAGUGGAGGAUCCCUGGAGGAGCAAAUAGAAGAAACCCAAAAGGGACUUGAAAGCGGGUCCCCUCCCUCACCUGGAUUCCCAGUCCGAAGAGGAGGAAGCAUCCGCCCUCCUUCCCUCCUUCUGACCCACCCAGCCACCCACCCAAGGUGCCAUUAAAGUUAAUUGUUUUUACUGCCAGUUUAACAUAGUCUUGUAAAUCUUUUUACGAUGUGGCCGGGGAACACCGAGCUGCAUGCAGGACUCAAUGGAGUUGGAGCACAGGAGCGUGGCCCCAGAGCUAUCUGGAGGGUGUAAAAUGGGAGCGCCACGUCUCUCCAGGGGCACCCUCUUCCCUCCUCCUGGAGCACCAGGCCCAAGACCCUCAUCUGAGUGGCAGUUCUCCCAGGCGAGGCUAGGAUUGUGCCUGGAAUGCUAAGAUCCUCCAGGUCACCCCCACUGUUUCGAGAGGCCAUCCCUCUUGACUCUAAGUUGUGGAAUCCUCCAGAAUCCGAGGCCUCCAAGCCCUGGAGAGAGGUUCUGGAUCCUUCAGAAAGGUUGAGGGGUGAUUCCCAUAUAGAAAGCUUGGCGCUGGGUCUCUCCAUUUGCCCACCAAGGACCGGCAGGCAAAAGCACUGCAAGGUGGACGUUUAGGGGUAUGAGGGGCGCACAUUCCAUGGCGCAGGGACUCUGGAGGUGCAGGUCUUCUACGAAGGUGAUUCCGCCAUUUCCCAGCCAUUACCAGCGGAGAGAGCUGAGUCUUCCUGAACAGCGCCUUUAAGCUGGUUUGUCCCAGGUUGGUGGAGCGGGACUCAGCGGUUUCUGUCCCUUGGGUAGACCUUGGCUUCCAUCUGUCUGGGUACAGGCACGAUUUCCCUCUCCCGGUUCCUGGCAUCCCCAUUGUGAGCCAUCCAUGUCAAAAUAAGGGUCUUAACUCCCACCGUUGUCACUAGCAUUAAACAGACACUCCUAAUGUGCCCAGAAAAAUGCCAGGCGCACGCUAAACAUCUGUAAACCACGGUGACAGCUCUAAGCGUUCAUGAUUAAGCCCAAAUAUUUAUUAGGCACUGGUGUGCAAGCCUUGUGUAAGUGCUGAGGACACACAGAGAAGAACGACGUACUUUCCUCUAAAGAGGGUUUUUUGUUAUUGACAAAGGAACCUAGAGGGCAUCAACGCAACACACAGAGCAGUCCUUCCCAAAACAUACCCCGGGAACCGGUUAGAAAUGCGCAUUCUCAGGCCCAGCUGAGACCAAUUGAAUGAGGUGUCCGGGAGCGGGGCCCAGAAUUCCUGUUUUAACAAAGCCCCCACGUGAUUGUGAGCUCCUUAAGGUUCGAGAACCCUGAUGCAGUGAACGCAGGCGCAGGCUCUGGAGUGAGAAAUUGUGGGUUUUCAUCUCCUUGCAUCUAUGUUGUGGGGCUUUGACCAAGAAAUGGUAACAAACUCAGAAGGGGAGAAGGGGAAAGAGAGUGGAUGGAGUAGGGGCGGUGAGAAGGAAGACAAGGGAAUAACCAGCCCUCUUCCCAACAGGGCUUCCUCGAUCAGAGGCCGAAUUUCCGAGCAGGAUAGACCAGGGGGCUCGAACUAAUAAUUCUGAGGGGUCAGAAAGGCCUCUCAAAACGCGCCGCGAUUUGAAACCUGCAAACGCGGGGUUCAGGUCGGCUCCGUUUCUUCCAAGCAGCCUGCCUUUGGGGCACCCAACCCUUCCCAAGCCUCGGUUUUCCCGAUCUUGUGGGAUCCUUGCGGCGCGAAUGGGGUUGGAAGCACCUUGGAAGCUACAGAGUACCGGGUCGGGACAAUUUCCGGCACUGCCCCAGUUCAGUGGUUUAUAGAAAAUUUCUUUCUCUCUCUCAGGUCCACUAAGACCGAGAGAGAGAGAGAAGUCGACUCUGGCACACCCGGGCGAGGGGCUGCCGGGAUUCGGGAGCUGGCGCGGUUGAUUUUUUCCGAGAAUCCUCCACUUGGGGUGACGUCGGGCAGCGCGCGCGGGCCGUGAGGUUAAUGCCCAGGCUUUUCUCUAAAGCGUCCGGGAAUGAUCCGGCGAAUAAAA
rnacentral:lncRNA from 10 species